rnacentral:rRNA from 1 species
UGGGGAAUCUUGCGCAAUGGGCGAAAGCCUGACGCAGCAACGCCGCGUGCGGGAUGAAGGCCCUCGGGUUGUAAACCGCUUUCAGUGGGGACGAACCAAGACGGUACCCACAGAAGAAGCCCCGGCCAACUACGUGCCAGCAGCCGCGGUAAUACGUAGGGCGCAAGCGUUAUCCGGAAUUAUUGGGCGUAAAGAGCUCGUAGGCGGUUUGUCGCGUCUGCCGUGAAAGUCCGGGGCUCAACUCCGGAUCUGCGGUGGGUACGGGCAGACUAGAGUGAUGUAGGGGAGACUGGAAUUCCUGGUGUAGCGGUGAAAUGCGCAGAUAUCAGGAGGAACACCGAUGGCGAAGGCAGGUCUCUGGGCAUUAACUGACGCUGAGGAGCGAAAGCAUGGGGAGCGAA